rnacentral:rRNA from 1 species
UACGUAGGGUGCAAGCGUUAUUCGGAAUUACUGGGCGUAAAGCGUGCGCAGGCGGUUGUGCAAGACAGAUGUGAAAUCCCCGGGCUUAACCUGGGAAUUGCAUUUGUGACUGUACGGCUAGAGUGUGUCAGAGGGGGGUAGAAUUCCACGUGUAGCAGUGAAAUGCGUAGAGAUGUGGAGGAAUACCGAUGGCGAAGGCAGCCCCCUGGGAUAACACUGACGCUCAUGCACGAAAGCGUGGGGAGCAAACAGG